GACGAACGCUGGCGGCGUGCUUAACACAUGCAAGUCGAACGGAAAGGCCUCUUUCGGGGGGUACUCGAGUGGCGAACGGGUGAGUAACACGUGAGUAACCUGCCCUUGACUUUGGGAUUACUUCAGGAAACUGGGGCUAAUACCGGAUAGGAGCUCCUGCUGCAUGGUGGGGGUUGGAAAGUUUCGGCGGUUGGGGAUGGACUCGCGGCUUAUCAGCUUGUUGGUGGGGUAGUGGCUUACCAAGGCUUUGACGGGUAGCCGGCCUGAGAGGGUGACCGGCCACAUUGGGACUGAGAUACGGCCCAGACUCCUACGGGAGGCAGCAGUGGGGAAUAUUGCACAAUGGGUGGAAGCCUGAUGCAGCAACGCCGUGUGCGGGAUGACGGCCUUCGGGUUGUAAACCGCUUUCGCUCAUGACGAAGCUUUGUGUGACGGUAGUGGGUAAAGAAGCACCGGCUAACUACGUG
rnacentral:rRNA from 1 species